GGAGAAAAGCAGGGGACCGCAAGACCUUGCGCUAAAGGAGCGGCCGAUGUCUGAUUAGUUAGUUGGUGGGGUAAAGGCCUACCAAGGCAACGAUCAGUAGCUGGUCUGAGAGGACGAUCAGCCACACUGGGACUGAGACACGGCCCAGACUCCUACGGGAGGCAGCAGUGGGGAAUUUUGGACAAUGGGCGAAAGCCUGAUCCAGCCAUGCCGCGUGAAUGAAGAAGGCCUUCGGGUUGUAAAGUUCUUUUAGUUGGAAAGAAAAAAUUAUGAUGAAUAAUCAUAAUUCAUGACGGUACCGACAGAAAAAGCACCGGCUAACUACGUGCCAGCAGCCGCGGUAAUACGUAGGGUGCAAGCGUUAAUCGGAAUUACUGGGCGUAAAGGGUGUGCAGCGGCCUUGUAAGUCAGAUGUGAAAGCCCCGGGGCUUUACCUGGGAAUUGCGUUUUGAAACUACAAGCUAGA
rnacentral:rRNA from 1 species